rnacentral:rRNA from 1 species
AGUCUCGGCAACGGAUAUCUAGGCUCUCGCAUCGAUGAAGAACGUAGCAAAAUGCGAUACUUGGUGUGAAUUGCAGAAUCCCGUGAACCAUCGAGUUUUUGAACGCAAGUUGCGCCCGAAGCCAUUAGGCUGAGGGCACGUCUGCUUGGGAGUCUCA